rnacentral:rRNA from 1 species
AGUCGACGGUGAAGAGGAGCUUGCUCCUUGGAUCAGUGGCGAACGGGUGAGUAACACGUGAGCAAUCUGCCCUUGACUCUGGGAUAACUGCGGGAAACUGUAGCUAAUACCGGAUAUUACCUUGGAAGGCAUCUUCUGGGGUGGAAAGAAUUUUGGUCAAGGAUGAGCUCGCGGCCUAUCAGCUAGUUGGUGAGGUAAUGGCUCACCAAGGCGACGACGGGUAGCCGGCCUGAGAGGGUGACCGGCCACACUGGGACUGAGACACGGCCCAGACUCCUACGGGAGGCAGCAGUGGGGAAUAUUGCACAAUGGGCGCAAGCCUGAUGCAGCGACGCCGCGUGAGGGAUGACGGCCUUCGGGUUGUAAACCUCUUUCAGCAGGGACGAAGCGAGAGUGACGGUACCUGCAGAAGAAGCACCGGCCAACUACGUGCCAGCAGCCGCGGUAAUACGUAGGGUGCGAGCGUUAAUCGGAAUUACUGGGCGUAAAGCGUGCGCAGGCGGUUAUAUAAGACAGUUGUGAAAUCCCCGGGCUCAACCUGGGAAUUGCAUCUGUGACUGUAUAGCUAGAGUACGGUAGAGGGGGAUGGAAUUCCGCGUGUAGCAGUGAAAUGCGUAGAUAUGCGGAGGAACACCGAUGGCGAAGGCAAUCCCCUGGACCUGUACUGACGCUCAUGCACGAAAGCGUGGGGAGCAAACAGGAUUAGAUA